rnacentral:rRNA from 1 species
UGGCGGAAUGCUNGACNCAUGCAAGUCGAACGGCAGCACGGGGCAACCUGGUGGCGAGUGGCGAACGGGUGAGUAAUACAUCGGAACGUGCCCAAUCGUGGGGGAUAACGUAGCGAAAGUUACGCUAAUACCGCAUACGAUCUACGGAUGAAAGCGGGGGAUCGCAAGACCUCGCGCGAAUGGAGCGGGCGAUGUCAGAUUAGGUAGUUGGUGGGGUAAAGGCUCACCAAGCCGACGAUCUGUAGCUGGUCUGAGAGGACGACCAGCCACGCUGGGACUGAGACACGGCCCAGACUCCUACGGGAGGCAACAGUGGGGAAUUUUGGACAAUGGGCGCAAGNCUGAUCCAGCCAUUCCGCGUGCAGGAUGAAGGNCUUCGGGUUGUAAACUGC